UACGUAGGGUGCAAGCGUUGUCCGGAAUUAUUGGGCGUAAAAGAGCUCGUAGGCGGUCUGUCGCGUCUGCUGUGAAAACUCGGGGCUUAACCCCGGGCCUGCAGUGGGUACGGGCAGACUAGAGUGCGGUAGGGGGAGACUGGAAUUCCUGGUGUAGCGGUGAAAUGCGCAGAUAUCAGGAGGAACACCGGUGGCGAAGGCGGGUCUC
rnacentral:rRNA from 1 species